rnacentral:rRNA from 1 species
AAUAGAUACCCUGGUAGUCCACGCCGUAAACGUUGGGCGCUAGAUGUGGGGACCUUUCCACGGUUUCCGUGUCGUAGCUAACGCAUUAAGCGCCCCGCCUGGGGAGUACGGCCGCAAGGCUAAAACUCAAAGGAAUUGACGGGGGCCCGCACAAGCGGCGGAGCAUGCGGAUUAAUUCGAUGCAACGCGAAGAACCUUACCAAGGCUUGACAUACACGAGAACGGGCCAGAAAUGGUCAACUCUUUGGACACUCGUGAACAGGUGGUGCAUGGUUGUCGUCAGCUCGUGUCGUGAGAUGUUGGGUUAAGUCCCGCAACGAGCGCAACCCUCGUCGCAUGUUGCCAGCACGUUAUGGUGGGGACUCAUGUGAGACUGCCGGGGUCAACUCGGAGGAAGGUGGGGAUGACGUCAAAUCAUCAUGCCCCUUAUGUCUUGGGCUUCACGCAUGCUACAAUGGCCGGUACAAAGGGCUGCGAUGUCGUAAGGCGGAGCGAAUCCCAAAAAGCCGGUCUCAGUUCGGAUUGAGGU